GAAAAGAGCCGUUGAAGCCGGCUUUCAACAGCACGGCGAAGCUCAUACGGAGGGUUCUCCAGCCACUUCCCGAGGAGAAUCUCCACAUUAUAAGCGAUGUCAUCUUGGAGCUCCUCGGAUGGAUUGAAUGCCGCAGGGUCCAUGGUGGCUGGUUCAGUGCUGUCACGCCCGGUGUGGCGGGCGUGUGGAGUUUAUAAAGAGGACCCAAAAGGCGGCAGCUCUGGUGCAGCCCUCUGUGAUGAGA